rnacentral:lncRNA from 1 species
CUCAGCCUCCGGAGUAGCUGAGACCACAGGCGCCCGCCACCACGCCCGGCUAAUUUUUUUGUAUUUUUAGUAGAGACGGGGUUUCACCGUGUUAGCCAGGAUGGUCUCAAUCUCCUGACCUCGUGAUCCGCCCGCCUCGGCCUCCCAAAGAAUCUCCUUUUAAGAUUACAUUCUGUUCUCAGCCCCACGCAAACUUCUACAGACCUUCAGACAGAGCUGAAUUCCUUGGCCAGAGUAGAGUUCCACUGGCACACCGGGCAGCAAGCGCCAGCCAGCCAACCGUGCAGGCUCCCAGUGGCAGCUGUGGUUUUUCCCCCGCCCGUCGUGGCCGUUGCCGUGGCCAUUUCAUCUGGGGGCUCCAUCUGGGAUAUUCAUCAGAAGGGGUCACAGGUCGCAGGAGCCUCUCCCAACAGCUCAGGGCACAAGGUGGAAACCAGCAUUGGACAAGACAUCAUCUUAUCUCAGGUACACACACACAGACAUUCACUCCUCCUGGGAUGAUGUAGACAUACCAAUUCACUUAAAGUGUACACCUUUGGGAUGUGGGAGAAAACCCAAUUACUUGGAGAUAUUUGAGAACCUGCUAUAUAAACUCUUCUUAUGCUACAUAAAAUAGGUAAUACCUAGAAUUUAUCAAAAUUAACUCUAACUAGAUAUUAAUUUAGUCAUUUCUAAAGUCUUAGUGGGUUGCAUAAAGCAGUGCUGUCAACUGGUGAUAUAAAGAAAGUUUUAGGCCAUACUCCCUUUCCCACUGUCACCAGUGGUAUCAAUUUUGUCUACAUUUUUUCUCUCUGGCAUGUUUCUGCAGUUUUCCUUCUAUUAACUUCUUUUCUCUUCAAGACUGCCCAUAGUCAUUAACAAACAUGUUCUUAUUGCGGAAAUAGAAGAAAGAUAAAUAUGCAGUGUGAUCUCUACCGCUUAAUCAAAUAUUUGUCAUUAUUCAGGGUACUUGGAGACAUUUUCAGCUGUUGAAACAGCUGCAAACUUAGGGAUUUCCAAUGGAAGCAAAGAGAGAGAGAUUGAUACUCAGAUAUAGUAAUGUAAAAUACUCUCAUUUUACUAACAAAAAAUUAAAACUCAGAGCACUGGUUGACUUAGCAAAUGUCAUCCAUAUAUGUUGGGGAAAAGUGAAUACUUGAACUGGUAUGCUGACAAGACAGUGCUUUCCAUUCGGAUUUUCACAUGUAUGUCCCUGCAAUAUAACUUUGCCUAUUUUUCAAGAUAUUUUCUAGCCCUUCUUUUAAGAGGUAAGUACAAGCUGGGCUCGGUGGCUCAUGCCUGCAAUCCCAGCACUUUGGGAGGCCGAGGCAGGUGGAUCACCUGAGGUCAGGAGUUUGAGACCAGCCUGUCCAACAUGGAGAAACCCCAUCUCUACUAAAAAUACAAAAAUUAGCCGGGUGUGGUGGUGCAUGUCUGUAAUCCCAGUUACUCGGGACGCUGAGACAGGAGAAUUGCUUGAACCCAUGAGGUGGAGGUUACAGUGAGCCGAGAUUGCGCCAUUGCACUCCAG